rnacentral:rRNA from 1 species
CAAGUAGGUGAGGAAGGUGGGGAUGACGUCAAAUCAGCACGGCCCUUACGUCCAGGGCUACACACGUGCUACAAUGGCCGGUACAAAGGGCAGCUACCUGGUGACAGGAUGCUAAUCUCAAAAGCCGGUCUCAGUUCGGAUCGGAGUCUGCAACCCGACUCCGUGAAGUUGGAUUCGCUAGUAAUCGCGCAUCAGCCAUGGCGCGGUGAAUACCGGUUCCCGGGCCUU